rnacentral:lncRNA from 1 species
AAGCUCUCUACAAGGGUUUUAAACAAUACCAUCAUCCCGGGCACGAAAUCAAGAAGCAAUAACACUAGAACGAUCCCCACAGCGUAAGUGUUGCUAUAUUGCAUCUCUUUUUCUUUGUAGUUUGAGUUUUAAAAGGUAUUUAAUAGUUAAGAAAAAUUCUUAAUUUCUGGUUUUAAGCUCUUAAAUAUCAAGGAAUGUUGAUUAACUGAUUUCAUAAUAGUUAGAACUCACGGGACGGUGAUCGGAAGCCGUGAGUUCGAGUUAUUUGACUUGUAAUGGAUUGUUUUUGGGCUGUUUCAUGUAGCUUUUGGGCUGUCUAUUUUGUUACUAUUAAAUGGAGUUUUUGGAGGAUAAAUUGUGGGGAGAAACACUACAUAAUGGUAAAAUCAUGGAUUAGUCAUUAUGUUUGACACUACUAUAGUCGUCGUUUUGGAUAUGAAUUGAUUGGGGUGUAUUAGGAUGUUGUAAGCUAAAUAUAAUAUGAGUUUCGACUUGCAUCUACUGUAUGAGGUAAAUAUAUUAUGUUUCUAGAGGUUCUUAAGGUUAUCUUGGCAUUGGUUAAGUUAAAUGGAUGAACUAGACAUGAACUAGUGAAUAAAGUUGCUAAUUAAGAAUAAUCGGAGUUGUGGAUCAUUUUCCUUGUUAUUGGAUAUAUGGUAUAAGGCUGGAAUUAUUGAUGAAUGACUUCAUUAUCAUGUUAAUGAUACUAUUAAGUUAAACUAAAAAGUCUAUAAGGGAUGAUAUGGGGUAUACGAAUUCCAAUUGGAGCUUGUCGCUCGUCGUAAAAUAGUUAUGACUUAUUGUUGUUUUAUGGUGUCUUGUUAUUGAUAAUUAUAUAUUGCUGGAUUUCUCUGGUAAUUGUUGUUGGUAUAUGAUUUUGGAGGAGGCUCUUGUUACAGGGGAGAUGCUGCCCGAGUUUAUAUAAACGAGCUACAAGUUUAAGUUGCAGACUUAGACUUUAUUCAACACUGAUUUUGAAUCUCCUUAUGCAAUGGUAGAUUGAGUUGAGUUGUUUGAAGAGUAGCUUGGGAGGUAUUAGGGACUCACCAUGGUUAAGGUAUGUUAAGAUACUUCCCUCUUUCUUUUGGCAUGAUCUAAAGUGAAAUGAAUACGCUAUUUCAUAACGGAUCAACUCCUAGAAACUAAGGUUGCCCAUGUUGUUCUUUCCUUAUAAAGUUAUUUUAAGCAAGUAUGUAUGAUCCUUGAAUCCUAUAGAAGCUCAUAUUGUUGGUAUGAUGUCCAUAAUGUUAAUCGAAGGUGCAACGACCUUAAGUCACUCCAAAAGGUUUAGAACGUGAUUCCAUGAGUCUAGCAUGCAUUAUAUAUAGUAUCUAUUUUACUCUACCGAGCUGCGCUAUUGUAGGCCGGGUACGACGCCUAUUGUGAAACCACUGAUCAGUUGGAUUUAUCGAGCUCCACGUGGCCGGGUACAAUUCUAUUGAGCCUUAUGAUGGUCGUGUACAUUUUUACCGAGUCCUCUUUGAGGCUGGGUACGAUAUGAUGAUGAUGAUGCCUACAAAGGCGUAUGUUUUAAAAGUUUAUGUAUAUAUAUGUAUUAUGAAUUUCAUGUCAGUGGCCCCAGAGGCUUGCAAAUGUUACAGGUUGUAUCUCUUCUAUCUCUCUUUAUAUUACUGUUCUUGUUUAUGCUUUCCUGCCUUACAUACUCGGUACUUUAUUUGUACUGACGUCUCUUUUGCCCAGGGAUGCUGCGUUUCAUGCCCGCAGGUCCCAAUUGAUAGGUUGACAUUCCUCCUAGUAGGCUAUCAGCUCAGCGGAGGUGUUGGUGCACUCCACUUGCUCCAGAGUUGCCUAUUUGGUCAGUAUGCUUUGGAUCUGUAUUAAUUGAUAUGGCGGGGCCCUGUCCCAACCUUUAUGAUUUUAUGUACUCUUAGAGGCUUGUAGACAGAUGUCAGGUUUAUGAAUACUUGUAUGGCCUUGUUGGCCUAUGUGUUGAGUUUACACAUGGUAAUGUCGGC